UCCUGUGGGUGUUGGGGACUAUUACCUGCCUUUUGUCGCUGUCCAUCUGACGUUCAAAAAAGGCCCAAGCUUUGACUACACUUUUGAUUCCUUUUCUAAAGGAGAGCUUCUUUAUGCUCGAGAAUAUUUCUGCAGCUUUGCAGGAACUGGUGAAUAAGAAUAAAAAUGUACUUGCAUGUGAUACCUUAUCUGAAGAGCUUAUAGUCCACCAAACAGAGAAUGAAAAUCUUGAUUUGGUAUUGGAGUUCAAAUGCAAAUACUCUUACUCAAAGAAGUCCGCUGGCAAAAAUAUUAAGGCUUUGGCUUCGUGCUUUGAGGAAUGGCUCCAGGCUUUAGUAAACGUCUUUUUUGAAUCAUCUCCUGCAAAGUACCAGCAGUUCAAGGCUUUCACAGGUGUUCCAACGGGUGCCCUGACUUAUAGUUUCAUCCAAACAUUGGAGCAAGAGACUAAAUUGACGUAUGAACGCUUACUCAUGAGUAUGCAGAAUAAGAUUCACGAAGCACAGACUUAGCUCUUCCCGAAAAAAGUAAAAAGGGAGUUACAACAUAUGAUGGCCUCGAAAGCUGCAUACUGAACAGUCAGUCCUGUGACAAUGAAAGGACCACUAGUAGAGGUGUUACAGAUUCCUUAUAUGAUGAUGACUCAAGCAGGGCGUCCGACAAAAAUGCUUUUGGAUCAUUCUCUUACAAUGGAAAUUUCUCUUAAAGCCCUCAACAUUUUUAUGUGAAAGAAAAACCUGUUUAUACAACACAACUUUCAGAUGUCGAAACCAUGAAAGAAAGAUUUGCAAAGUUGUUGCUCGGGGAAGAUGUGACCGGAGAAAGCAAGGGGGUUUCCACUGCAUUAGCAUUGUCCAACGCCAUUACAUAUCUUGCAGUUAAAGAAAAGGUUAAGAAGUUUCUGGAAGUUGUAGUUCGGUCUUUCCUUGGACCGAUUCGGAGUUUCCGUUUAUGUGAUAUGGUAAUUUGAUGAUUGUGAAAAAGAAUUGCCAGGUUGGCAGUACAGUGGCAGAUGUAAAGGAUGCUAACAAAAGAGGUCCAUUGAUUUUUGCUGCUAGGGAAGGCAACACUGACUUGUGCAAGUACUUGGUGGAAGAGUUGAUGACUGAUGUCAAUGAAAAAGAUGAGCAAGGAUUUGUAUUGUAUUGUUGUGUGUGACGUUGUGGACUGAUUGGGUGUCUUGUUGAACCGUAACUUGAGUGGUUAUUUUCGGUACAACCACAAUGGAACCCGAGGCUUCAAAUGCUCAAACAAUGGACAAUAAUGCCAUCAAUCUCAUUUUGGCUCGCCUUGAAACUAUGUCCCGAGAUGUGGCUAGGUUGAAUGUGUCUUGAGAAACUAGAUACGGAUGUGGCAUCAGAAAUCCAAAGGAGUCGACCUUCUACCCCUCAAAAAAGUUCCCCAACUAAUACUCCCGAGACCUUGCACCAAAUGCUAUAUCCACCAAUUGCCACAAAUCCAACCAAUCUUUAAUCCCGAAGCCGAGAACAAGAUAGACCAAACCAUCCUCCACUCCACCAAGUCCAACAAGAAAGGUUGGAACCCAAAUACCACCACCAAACCCGAACCCUCUUAUCCAAACUCCACUUGACCAAAGACCUCACUAUCCAAAUCCAAUCCCGCCACUAUAAGCUCCACUUAACCCAAAUAGACCCUUCUAUGUUGAAGGCUAUGUUAGGGGAGGACAACAUGAUGGUUAUGGGUUGUAUGAUGAUGUUUACUUGAGGGAAGGAAGAAUGAAGGGUAAACAUGGGGAGUUAGGCCGAGAGAUGAGAGAUGGCUAUCCAAAUCGAGAUGUAGGUCUCAAUUCCAUCAAAGUGAGCCUUCCCGUUUUCAAAGGUGAGAGUGAUCCCGAAGCCUACCUUGCAUGGAAGUCGUCUUAUGACAAGAUCUUCCAACUUAAUGAUCUCACCGAAGAAAAGAAAUGUUGCUAUGCUAUAGCUUACUUCGAAGCGUAUGCUAAUACAUGGUGGGAGUAUUUUAAACGGUUUGGGAAUGAGAUGAUUGGGGGACAAGCUCCUCCUUGGUUUCGGUUGAAGAACCUUAUGCGGCAAAGAUACUUGCCCGAGACUUAUAGAUAUGAGCUCCUUGCCAAAUUGUACAAUUUGAGGCAAGGGAGCAAGAGUGUCAUGGCUUACUACGACGAAUUUCAACAAUUGAUGUUGAAACUAGAUCACCGGGGAGAACAAGUGAGUCAUGACAUCGUGCGCUUCAAAGUCGAGUUGAACAAGGACAUCUCCACUCAUAUGACACUUCAUAAGUUCGACACCAUUGAUGGCAUCUUCCAAGCGGCAUUGGAGGUUGAAAGGGAGCUCAAAAAGAGCUUAUCCAUGGUUGUCCAAACUGAGAGCAUCAAGGCUGCCCCAAAACAGUCCACUAGGUAUGAAGGUAAACCAAUUUCAACUUCCAAUUCUAAGGGAUUUCAAUGCUUCAAAUGCCAAGGGUGGGGGUACAAGGCUAGUGAGUGCCCAAACCGGAGGAACGUGAUCCUAAGGGAGGGAAAAUUAUACUAUCUUGGGGAAGAAGUAGUAAUUGAAUCAGCUAAGGUUGAUGGGAAGCCUCAAGAUAGAGAGCAAGAAGAGGUUAAAAUGCAAAGCGGGGAAGAUGUAGAAGAUGUGUGGCCGUGUGAAGGAGAUUGUGAAGUGCCAUUGUAAAAGAGGUGAGGUCAUGAAUUUGUAGGCAAAUUCCUAUCAAGAUGGAGAGGAUGAUACGAGUACUAUCAUGACCUUGGAAACUUUUUGAGUAUUUUGGAAACCACUUAGAAGAGUGCAUAAGUCCAAGUGUGAAGGAGGCCCAAAACCAUCCUUUUGGUGCACUUAAGGGGCUGCUUUUGGAGCCCUUUAAUGAAAGGGUUCUUUUGUUAUUUCUCUAUUAUUUGUAAUGUUGUAUAAAUAGAACUUUCUAGGGUUUAUUUCCUUAGUUUUUGAUUAUUAUUGAAAGAAACUCCUUUAGAGAGAGUGAGAGCAACCGUAAUUAGGGUGAUACUAGUGUGGAAUCACUAGUGUUGCAAAACGUUGUUAUAAACCUUGGUGCUUUAGAGGUGGACGCCCUCUUGUGUCAUCGUAGAGUGUUGGAAUUGAUAUUACAAGUGUUAAGGGUCUUGGUAUUGAAUAUAUACCUUGGUUCUUAUUGUUUGUAAUAUUGUAUGUCAUACUUCCUAUCUUUUGUUCCUGUAAUAGUUGUACUAGUUUGUAGUUGUUUCUAGUGAAGCUGUGUGGUGUUGUUACAUUGUUCUUGUGUUCCAGUCCUAUUGUUAUCAUCUUGUUCUUCUGGUGUAGUAGCUGUUGUUUUGGUGUUGAACACCUAGUAAUCUUGGGUUCUUGAGUUGUCAUCUUAUAGCCGUUUGGUCUCUUGUACCUUGUGGACUGUUUUGUGCGAUUUGUGGGCUGUUUUGGUGUCUUUCCUUGGUUGUUUUGUAUCAACAUGAGUGGGCCAUUAUAUGUUAGUCACAAUCUUGAGAAUAACUUUCGGCCCCACUCCCUCUACAGUAGUGCAUAAUCCAACUUUGCUGACAACGAAAAAAUAUCCUUCAAUUAGCAAUGCAGAAGGAAAUGGUUGGCGCAAUAAUGACUACACUGGAAAAAAUGAACAUCUACUGAAGUCUGGAAAAAUAGGCAUGUGCAGUGAUCCAUAUUGCACAACAUGUCUAACCUAUUACUAUUUAAAAUCACGGCAAAAAUAUUCAGAAUCUUCAGAUAUAUUUGAUCACAAGGUAUUGCACUUUGCUCAAGUCAAAUGUAUAUCUUCCUAGGAAUAUGCUAUGAUGUGAUUUUUCACUCCAUGGACACUAUUUUCAAACUAGUAUUUUGCUUGUCAUUGACUCAUCUCAGCCAGAAUUUCAGCUUUGACCACAUAGAAAGUUUAUACUUUUUAUGGGCUCUCAUUCUUUGGUAAACUUCUGUUCAUGGACAAUCAAAUUCUGCUAUUUCUGCAUUCGAGUUGAUUAUAUACUGAUGAAGCCAUGUUGUUCAAACUUUGGUAUUAUCAUCAAUUACGGUUUCAGCAAUUAUGAGACUUUGUGGUUUCCAGUUUCAAUAUCCAUUAUUAGAAUGACCUUGUCCACGUCUUGGUGCAAUUCCCUGGCACCAACUUUGUACCAGUUUCCUAUUUCUUAAUAGAAUUACUACUUUAACAGUUCAAAACAAGAAGAGAAGAAAAACGAAUGACUUUGUGCAUGUCUCGACUAAAAUCUUAUUUUACAUUCAGCUUAAAAGUUUUGCAAGUUCAAUUGAAAGUAUAUUUUCCCUUGUUCACCUAUCAUCCUUUAUGCCUGUAUAUUUACAGAAAUUACUCUUCUAUUAUGAGUAUAUGGUGCUCUUAUAUCAGUGGUAGAUAACUAUAUACCAGUGAUUUACAUUUAUUAACAUAUGACCAAGAUGAUUAGAGAAAUGGAAUAUCUUGUAUAUGUUUUAAAUAGAUCGAAGUGUAGUAUUACUUUGUGGUAAACACUUGGGCGUUCAUCAGCUUUCGAAAAUUUGUUUUGCCAACUUCAACAACAUCAUACCCAAUGUAUUCCCACAAAGUGGGGUCUAGGCAGGAUAAAGUGUACGUAGUUCUUCUGUAGUUUUCAUUAUUAGUCAUUCGAAAUAGCUCAUAUCUUGCAGAUUACACAGUGAAACUUGCUGUGGAACUCGAAGCUGCUGAAUGGUUGAGGGCUUCUCAGUUCAUAUUCCCGCAAGGACCAUGACUUACUAUUUUACUAGCACUUUGUCAUUGCUUACUUCAAUUACCUUGCUCCUAUGCUGUAUCAAUUUGCUAGCUGCAUAGAACAUUCAUCAUUUCUUGAAGUUCUAAGUAUUACAAUUAGUGGACUUAUGUAUUUGUUCAUCUUUGUGCAGAUUUGAGAUUUUUCUGUAGUAUGACAGGUUUUGAACUUUUUUUCUUUCCGUCUUGAGUUGUUGAGUUAUUUUAGCUUUGUGGGAUUUUUGAGAAAGUAGGAAAUGAAGGGUAAUUUGAAUGUUUUAGACAAUGAAUUUUGUCUCUAAAUUAAAUUUUGUACAACAAAAAUCUUUGUCCAAUGGUUUUUGAAACUGGUAGUGUCGGUCGAGUGCUUAUGGUUUCAUUUUUAGUUCUUAUUAAUCAUUUUCUCAACUCUACAGAGAAUCUGUCACAAUUUUAGGGACGACAUAUAUCAACUCCCUGAAUUUCACAAGCUUUGGCUUGACAUGUAUGUUUUCGAGUAACUGAUGAUCUUUCCAUUUAAUGGCAAAGAUAAUCCAAAUUACAACUUAAGAAGCAGAGGAAUACCUUUUUGAUUUGCUGCUUUGCCCACCCUUAACCUUCUGCAACUCCUACGAGGUAACCAACAGAGGCCACCCAAUAGCAGCAAAUACGCCAACGUCCUCCAAAUUUACACCAAAGGCUGGCAACCAUUUCAUUCUUACACUGGUUUUGUUUAUAUAUGUUACCAUGAUUCAACUUCGUCUCAACCAGGACGAAGCGUGCCACAAAAGUCACAUCAAACAAGUCCAGGGGAGCUAAAUAGAGGGCAUGUUUGCGGAAAUUCAUUUCAACAUGAUAUGUUGGCAACAAGUGGUUGUAAGAGCUGAUGGUUUUCCAGUACCACCUUCACAGUAUGAGGCUUUAUCAGGGGAACAGCCUGAAGGUGGGAAAUCAGGGGAAGAAGGGAAACUCUUGAAAUUAUUGAAAAGCUCAAAGGCUCGAACUUUUCCGCCAUAGUUCUGAGUAUUGGGAGCUGGGAAACAAUAGUGAUGUUUUAGCAUUGGGUGUAAUUUGUAAUUUACAAAUUGCAGUUUAGAAGAGCUAGAACCGAUGAAAGUUGUGUUAUUUUGUUGUGCUUUGUAUGUUUCUGGAAAUUGAGCUGAGUUGCGAUAGUGGAUUUUUUCAAAAUUUCUGCAAA